GCCUACGGGGCGCAGCAGUGGGGGAUAUUGCACAAUGGGGGAAACCCUGAUGCAGCGACGCCGCGUGGGCGAAGAAGUAUUUCGGUAUGUAAAGCCCUAUCAGCAGGGAAGAAGAAAUGACGGUACCUGAGUAAGAAGCACCGGCUAAAUACGUGCCAGCAGCCGCGGUAAUACGUAUGGUGCAAGCGUUAUCCGGAUUUAUUGGGCGUAAAGCGUCCGCAGCCGGUUUAUUAAGUAUAGAAUAAAACUUCGGGGCUCAACCCCGUCUCGUUCUAUAAACUGAUAGACUAGAGUGUGGUAGAGGG
rnacentral:rRNA from 1 species